rnacentral:rRNA from 1 species
UGAACGCUAGCGGCAGGCCUAAUACAUGCAAGUCGGACGGUAGAGAUUCCUUCGGGAAUUUUGAGAGUGGCGCACGGGUGCGUAACGCGUAUGCAACCUACCUUUUACCGGGGGAUAGCCCGGGGAAACCCGGAUUAAUACCCCAUAGUAUCAGGAGACGGCAUCGUUUUCUGAUUAAAGAUUCAUCGGUAGAAGAUGGGCAUGCGUAGGAUUAGCUAGUUGGCGGGGUAACGGCCCACCAAGGCGACGAUCCUUAGGGGUUCUGAGAGGAAGGUCCCCCACACUGGCACUGAGAUACGGGCCAGACUCCUACGGGAGGCAGCAGUAGGGAAUAUUGGGCAAUGGUCGGAAGACUGACCCAGCCAUGCCGCGUGCAGGAAGAAGGCGUUACGCGUUGUAAACUGCUUUUAUACGGGAAGAAAAAGCAACUGCGGUUGAAAUUGCCGGUACCGUAUGAGUAAGCACCGGCUAACUCCGUGCCAGCAGCCGCGGUAAUACGGAGGGUGCGAGCGUUGUCCGGAUUUAUUGGGUUUAAAGGGUGCGCAGGCGGCCUGAUAAGUCAGCGGUGAAAUACUCCGGCUCAACCGGAGGGGUGCCGUUGAUACUGUUUGGCUUGAGUGCGGUCUACGUACAUGGAAUUUAUGGUGUAG